UCCUACAUGGGUCUAGUGGUUAGGAUUCCUGGCUUUCACCCAGGCGGGCCCGGGUUCGAUUCCCGGUGUAGGAA
rnacentral:tRNA from 1 species